rnacentral:rRNA from 1 species
UACGUAGGGUGCAAGCGUUGUCCGGAAUUAUUGGGCGUAAAGAGCUUGUAGGCGGUUUGUCGCGUCUGCUGUGAAAUUUCGGGGCUCAACCCCGAACUUGCAGUGGGUACGGGCAGAUUAGAGUGUGGUAGGGGAGACUGGAAUUCCUGGUGUAGCGGUGAAAUGCGUAGAGAUCCGGAGGAACCCCAGAGGCGAAGGCGGCGUCCUGGCCCAUUUCUGACGUUCAGACAUGACAGCAUGGGGAGCGAACGGG